rnacentral:rRNA from 1 species
CUAUCACUCCUACGGGAGGCAGCAGUGGGGAAUAUUGCACAAUGGGCGCAAGCCUGAUGCAGCCAUGCCGCGUGUGUGAAGAAGGCCUUCGGGUUGUAAAGCACUUUCAGCAGUGAGGAAGGUGGAGUCGUUAAUAGCGGCCUCAUUUGACGUUAGCUGCAGAAGAAGCACCGGCUAACUCCGUGCCAGCAGCCGCGGUAAUACGGAGGAUCCAAGCGUUAUCCGGAAUCAUUGGGUUUAAAGGGUCCGUAGGUGGAUGAUUAAGUCAGAGGUGAAAUCCUGCAGCUCAACUGUAGAAUUGCCUUUGAUACUGGUUGUCUUGAAUUAUUGUGAAGUAGUUAGAAUAUGUGGUGUAGCGGUGAAAUGCAUAGAUAUCACAUAGAAUACCGAUUGCGAAGGCAGAUUACUAACAAUACAUUGACACUGAUGGACGAAAGCGUGGGGAGCGAACAGGAUUAGAUACCCUGGUAG